GUGAGAGGAAGCAGGAAACAGAUGAGCAACUGGUCGGUUUUUGUCCAUUUUUGCUGGUUCUUUACUAAUACAAACGGACAAAUCUUAUGUUACAAACUUUAUUGAACUCAUAGGAGCCCGCUACUCGUCUGUUGUGAUUUGAGGAGGGCUGUAUAUGUGAAGAUUUAACUGUGAACUGGUGAGCAGAAUCAUUUGUCUUGAUAGCUUAGCCACCUCCAUUCAGAUGAAUGGAGGUGCUUAACUCUAAAAUGUAACAGUGAUUGCUAAUAUGUAACAUUGAUUCCUGAAUCGAAUGUAUUGAAUGAAAUGAGUAUUUAAUAUAAAUGCUGUAAAUUUCAUUUAUUUGGACUAAUGGCAAGUGCUAUGUACUUAUUGUGGAUUAUGAUGAUUAUGUUUGAGAUUGAAUUGAACUGCAGUACUUUGAUUGAAAAGACAUGUGUAUACGCUGAAAUUCGAGCACUGUAUAUUAAUUGUGACAUUGUGAUUUACUUGAAUUCUGGCUUUACAGGCCAGGUUCUUUGAUUUUAGAUGGCGAGCUAAGAGGAAGUGACCUAUAGACCCAGGAAGCCCACAUCUCUCCUGCCAGGCUGGUAGGGGCUCCUUGUAGCCACAACACGCUCAUCCCACUGUACAGCCCAUCAAUCCGGACACACACACGCACACACACACUCCACCCAAGAUUUUCCCUUUUCCUCCAAUCCUCUGGACUUACACCUUUUUACCCAGACGUGGGUUUUGGUGUUGCAAGGAACUGUUGGUGGCCAAGUGCCCAUUACUUAUUUGGUCAUUGCGUUGUUUGACUAACUGAUUGAACUGAUUUACAUUUUGCAGGUGUUUGUUUCUCCCGUCUGUGCUCUGCUAAAUUAAAGGUCGUGCGCUACAUCUUUGAUUAAUCGUCCAAACAUCGUGUGUCGAUCAUUUUAGAUCAAAGGCUGAUGUCUUAGCGACAUUGUGGCGAUUAGCAAACACUCUCCUUGCGACAUCUUGGUGAUGAAACUACAUGUAUUGGGUUGACAUCGGCACAAUGUACGUGUGCUAUCUGGGAAAGGUUGACAAUAGGAUUGAAAAAGAAACUGGUAAUUUUUAUUACUAUUUACGAACAGUAAGUUAAAACUAUUUUUUAACAAUGAUACAAACAAUCGAACUGCCUGCAUCAAAUCCCUGUUGCCUUAUUCCUUUUAACUCCCCAAACAUCUGAAACAACUUUUAUAUGCACACACAUUUUAGUUGACAGCUCCUGAUACAGUUACAUGCAGACCCCAGGACUAUAAUCAUUGACAGCAUGCCAAAUUUUAUCAUACACACAGUUGGUGCUCUUUUACAAAUGUAUUAGACUGAGAAAUGAAGUUGCUAGAAGUUUAAAUCCAAUUCAACUGUAUCACAAAGACAAGUCUGUGUUCAGCAGUGAGGGUCCAGACACACUGGAGAGAGACAGCUUUAUGAGUCUGAAAAAUUCAUAUUACAAACAGUCACCCUGCUGCGCAGAGCAUUUUGGGUCUCCUGGCAUCCCAGAUGUGCUUUUUAUCAUCUCUCAUUAUGUCAAUACCAUGCCUUCAAAGCAAACAUUGAUGUAGUAUAGUAAAUAAGCUUUAUAAAGUGUUGGUUUUAUUAAAAAGACUUUAAAUAAAAGACAGCAAGUUAUUUGGCCAGAGUGAAUAGGCAUCUCUGAGCAUUAGCAGCUGCCCUGAGGUGGGUCCACACUGUCAGAAGUUCCCCCUGCUGGCCUUGUGUUCAGCAAAAUCUGUGAUAAUACUGUUUAAGUCCAAGUUUCUUCCCCUGCUGCCAGACCUGCCCCAUGCUGGUUUUAAAUAGGACUGAAGCUGUUUAAGCUGGAUGCUCAUCCUGUUGUUGUCUCCCCCACACACACUUCUGGGCGCCGCUUCUGUUUCAACUUGCAAAAAAACAAAAAAACAAAAACAUGCAGAAAUCCGGUUGUCCAUUUUAAUGUCUCUCAAUAUGAGUGUAGCAGAAAACUCGAGUUAACACAAGUUUUUACAUGACAGGAAGUUAUAAAGCACUUCACAGCAGGCUUUUCAUUUAUAAUUUUAUGUUUUGUGGUUAAAACAAGCAAAUGAAGCAAGAUUGGUAUAACUGAUUCUGGAAGAAGAUUGUAGUUUGAUAACACUGAAAAUACUCACAAAUGAAACAUCUCUGAAGAUUGAUUCAGCACCAUGCUGGUGGGAGAGUGGUAUAAAAACAUCCUCCAGACUUUCAUGGAGGCCCUCUAUAACUCACCUGCCUUGCACAGAUCUGUGUGACGAUGGAUAUACAGCCUCCUACCCAACCUUGCCAAGAAUGAGGGCAGGUGUCAGAGAUCUCAUCAUGGGCUAUCUCAAAGGCUUGGGCCCUGAUGCACUGCACCUGCUGCACUGCUUAGAGUUACACCAUUGGGUUUAGAUCAUGUUGCUGAUCUCACAAAGCACACUUUUGCAUCGAAAAGAAAGGAUUAUGCGCCUGUCUCUAAUGCCGGGGGAACAGCACAAACUCAGUCCUUCUUGUGUGAGUAGAAAAAUACAGCUGUUUCAUAUUUUGCUCAAAAUUUCAAAUUUCCUUAUUGUUACUGUUGAAAUGUGUACGAUAAGUAAACUGGAUCCCCCAUUAUAUUUAUUUUUGUAUUUUAACAUUUUCAAGUUUUUAAAGUAAGUUUGUGUCCCUCCAGUCUGUUUUCAUAUGUAUUAAAGGAUUAUUCCGGUGUAAAUUUAAGUUAUGGUCAAACACACUGUAACACCGAGUUAGACAUCCCCCUGAGAGAUGAAUGUUGCCGUCUGCUUGCUUCUCUAGUUAUACCAACAACCGCAUGCUUGUUUGUGGGGGAGCCCUGAUGAGACGAUCACUGGGUGCAGCGGAGUUUCGCAGCUCAAGGAAGAACAUUUAUGAUUAUUACUUCAUUGUAAUGCAAUCAGACCGAGAUGCUCAGGCAGAAAAACUACCGCAUCUGCAGUGCAAAAUGAUUAUUAUGAUGAUUAUUACUCAAUGGAAAUGAUCCACUGCACUCCGUGAUUGACUCGUCAGGGCUACCCCCACAAACAAGCGGCUGCUGGAGGAGAGUAGGUGAGUUGUAUUUAGUCUCUUUGCUAAAGAAAUCAGGCAAAGCUACAAAGAUGUUUGAUGGAUGUUUGAUGGCUGGGACCCUAUAUGUACUGUUGAUGAAGUUAGGUGCUGUUCUGAGCAUUAUUUGUGGCUAUGGAGUGGCUUUUUGUUUGAGGUUUGCACAUGGAGACGUAGACUGCUGUGUAUUGCUAUCGUGCGGUCGUUACUAAAGUUGGUAUAACUAGAGAAGCAUGCAGGCGGCAACAUUCAUCACUCAAAAGGGUGUCUAGUUCGGUGACCCUGACUUGAUUUUGCGCCGGAAUAUCCCUUCAAGUGUCACAGACUGCAUUGUGUUUUUGUAUACUAUUAAUAUAUUUGUGUCUGUGUGUGGGCACAUGUGGUUUCUUGGAGGUAAUGUCAAAAGCAAGACUGCAGGAAUCUGAUCCAGCUCUGUUUUGGGCUCCGGCUGAGAUCAGAUAGACUGUGCUGCCCUUCAAGCCAGAGAGCAGAACUGUGAUGUUGAUAAUCCUCACCCUCCCUGCUUCACUCUGCAGAGAUCCUUUCUCCCAAAAGAGUACCUCUCCUCGAAACACAGGGGUUUCCAUAAACCUCCAUCCCUCUUAUCGCUGUGGUGGCCACAGAGUUGUAUCAAGCAUGUUUAUUUCGGAGUAAGCCUGCAAAUAGCAGCAGGAGGAAAGGAAAAGCCCAUCAAGUUGACUUUCAAUGUCAUUUCACUUGGGGGAAUCUGUUUUCGCUUAAUUAAGUUUUAAGACAUUUAUCUACAUUUACUGCUUCAAUGUGCGAAGGAGUCAUUUUAUGUGACAUAACUCGACAGAAGAAGGUAAAAGAGUUUUAUAUUAUCAGCUCAGUUACUGCAACUCACUCAGCCCACGUAUCUAAAGCACCAGGGAUACUAUAUCUAACAAUCAGCAGCACCAAAUGCAAUCAUGGAAAGGAGAGGUGCUUGGAAUAGGAGCUUGUCAAAAUCUGUAUUUAUUGGCAGAUCAUUUAUGACCAAAACAUCAGACAUAACAAUCAGACAGGAAAAUGUCAGACAGAUGGUGCGAGAGGGGGUACUUACUUAACUGUUGGCCUAUGGGUUUUCAGGGUUCUUGCUUGGGAAAGACAGAUUAGCAACAGGGCCUGGAGCUGUUGAUAACAGAUGCAUCUGAGGUGAGUUUAUUUCCUUCAGUGGUUUAAUUAUAGUAUUUUUUUUUUACCGGUGCAUGGAAAAAACCUAGAGAAAGGGAAGUUUACAGACUGGUUUCUGCCAAGAAUCUAAACACAAACUCAGAGGAUGAUAAAGAGGGAGGUAUAAGGAGAAUACCUCUAGUAAGACUGUCAAGUCUUAUAGAGACAAAAGCCAAGUGCAUCAGUGCAAGUACAGCCAGUGUAUUUACAACGACAAUGCAUCAGAAAGAUUAAAUAUUCUUUUUCUAAAUAUUGUUACUGACCAUAGUCCUGUUAACAAACUGUGACGAGCUGGUGAGCUGAAAAGGACUCAGAGUCAGACAUCCGGAUAUAACAAGCAGCUUCUGUGUUGUCUGCAGCAGGAGCACAUGAUGGAUCAAUGGUCAGCCAGGGGACUCCUCCUGUAACAGCAUGUGUGCUUACAGUGUCAAACUUCUCAGCUGACGUUAACUUCUAUAACACAGAAAAUUUGCCCACAACAGGUUGUUGCACAUUGAUAGGUUGUAAAUACAACAGCGCUUUUUGCUGCUCUGCGUUUCUCCAUUACAUCUUAGUUUGAUUGACAACAUUUUAGGCCACUUUGAAAACCGGCUGUGUUAUAACUCGAAAACUCUUUUGGUCUUCUUGGAUCCCAUUAUAUAUAUAUUUAUCACAUCCCUCACAGCUAUUAAACUAAAUAACCAUAAAAUACAGAGUUCUGCUUGAGCGAUACUUAGAACCUUACCAAGUGAAAAAGUCUAUAAUCAUUCAUUGAUUUGCUGCUAAACUCAAAUUAGACGGUGAGGUGAGACUGUCUGCCUGCAGGAGCUGACCUGUACAGUAUGCAUGCACAGCCAUCCAUAUUUAAUCUUGAUGAUAAAACAAAGUUUGAGAGACACCUAAAACCAAAAUGAGAUAAACCACAGUAUCUGUUUUUAAACUCCAGUUAAAUAAAUAUCUUCAUGAAGGACAAUGGAUAAGCCGUAUAAUUAUGAUUGGUUUUAUAAUUCUGAACAUACCUACAAUACAGAGAUGUUGGUAAGGAACUGAUAUCUUUCCAUCACUCUUUGCCUGAAUCUCCCUCCACGCAAUUGCAGCAAACUGGCUGACCCACAUUAGCCUGGUUCUCUCAGGGUUUCUGUCUGUUAAAAGGAAGAUUUCUCUGACAGUUUUACCUGCCUAACAAUCAAGAGAUUCAGAUCCACUGCUGUUUUUGUCAAAUGUCUUGAGACAUACAUAAGAAGGAAAUGGAUUACCAGCAAGAUGUAGUAUUUUGCUACAAUUCAUGGUAAAAAUAUGCAAAUAUACCUCUUAAGAAAAAGAAACGGUAAACAGCUGCCAAUCUUUUCACCAGUAGUUCCCUGUUAAGGUUUUCUAAAUAACGCCUUUUUUAUGCAUUCAUAAAAACAGUGACAAACUAUUAACUUCAGCAACAGUAAUAUACUAUUGAUGUUACAGCAACUCCCUGGCAACCCUACAGCCAGUUGCUUACUAUUUUUUAACAGGUGGAAUUUCUGAGAGUGUAGGUUUAGGUUGUUGAAUAACAGCUUUUUGCUGCAUUUAUAAAAAUCAGUAACAAACUAAAAACAGCAACAGCAAUAUACCAUUAAUUUUACAGCAACCCUACAGUCAGUUGUUUACUGUUUUUUAACAGGUGGAAUUUCUAAGAGUGUUGUUAUGAGCGGGCGAUAUAGAAAUGUAAAUACUUGAGAAAUAUCUGCUAACAUUUAAUAAAUAUUCUGAACAUUGGUUUUAGCUUUUCUCCUUUUUUUUCUUUUUUUACAAUGUGUGUGUACUUAACACUGCCAUAACUCCAAAGCUCCUGAUCAGAGGUCAGGUGACCUGGACAUACCCCACCAUGUGAAAUAUCUGGGGGUGAAAAGAAACUGUUAUUAUUCUCUCGGUUUCCACAGAGAAAGCCCGGGAGAGCGCUUGUUGCAGAGGAUAGAGACGUAUUAUGUUUGCACCUUUUUUAUGUAUUUCUGUAGACUCCCUGCUCUUAGUCACUCCUGCUGAGGUCAUUUAGAGACCGGGAUUACAGCCAACACCCAUAAAAAGUGUGCAGCUCCAACAUACAGUAUUUAGUCAUUUUUUUCUCAACAUAUGUCAAGCUGCCAUGAGCUGUUAAACUGAAAUGAAUUAAAGUGCAUUGUACUGUCAGUCAUGUAAGGAUUAGUGUCUAUUCUUUGUUUGAUACCUCCUUGUAACAUCCUUCUUUUAGCUUUUGCUUUCUGACCUCAUAUGCUGUAAACUCCGACAUGCUGGCUCCAGGAGAGAUGGGUCUCUGGAAUACCUUAGCCUUGGAAACUGAUGCAGUAGACCUGUACUGUAGAUGGGCUCCUCAGAGGGCAUGAAUCAUUAAUGUCUAUCAGUAGGAGGGGAAAUAGCCCUUCUAUCAUCAACAUGGUCAGCUUUGUUUCCCUGGUAUCAUGCUCCUUUUCUGUUGCAGAAAAUGUUAAAUGACAUAGCUGCAUCACCUCUCACUCCAUCAUGGUUGUAGAGUCCAACUUUCACCUCAAACUUGGAUGCACAUGAAGUGCUGUCGGCUCUGUAAACAUAUCUCAGGUGAUGUCAACACUGGCUUGAUUCAGGCACUGCUGCCAAGUGGGCGGACAGCCACAGCAUACCCAUAGUCCUCUCCACUCUGGUCUUGCUCUUGAAUAGGCUGAAACAGAGGAGGAUUGCUAUGCUUUUAACUGUGAGCAGUAGUUUUUAUUUCAUGACUCAAUAAGGAAGUAAAAAAUAAGCGGGUAAGGACAACCUUACUAUCGGAAAUAAAGUACCACGAUGGAAAUCUGUUCAUCUCUUGUUUUGGUGUGUUUUUAAACACAGGUGCACAUUUGGGUCAAGAAUAAUGUUUUCAGUGAGGUGAAUAUGUAACCUUUAAGGGUUUUUCUGAAUACCAUUUUCAUGUAACAGUGAGGGACUUAAGAUUUUAUUGGAUGGCAUUACCUCCUGAUUAUGUUGCUGUUAGCUGAGCACCUUAUGUCACCUCAAUUGUGAGGCACAACGGGGGAUCUGUUCCCUUGUGAUCCCAGCAGCAGGAAGGAAUUACUCCGUUAACCAGCUCAAAAUAGAGGCUUUCAUGUCUCUGCCCAAUGGCAUAUGAGAAUAGGACUCAUUUUCUGUUAAUGCAUCUAUUAAUUAAUCAUUGCGCAAUUUUCAGAGUGCUGAAACUCAGAAAAAAGUGUCUGAAGGAGUACUUCUGUGCCUUCUUCUCUUGUGUGUAAGCAGUGUAUUGACGUGAAAAUGAACAACACAGGGAGUCUUGAAGAAAACCGUUUGAAUUACAUCUGAUUUACUUGUUAAGAGGAAAGAGAAGUAACAAAUUGAAAUAAAGCCUGCUGCUUUGGUUCAGAUCUGCUCUGAGGCCUUGCUGGGUUCUCCAGUGCCAAUACAUUGAUUGCCCCUCGCCUGAAUUCAUAAUCCACCCAGGGGUUCAAAUUUUGCACUGUUGCUUGGAUCAUCUGUCCAGACCCAGUAUGGGGAGCUAAGAUUUACGAACAUGAAAUUUAAAAAUGUUUUGGUUUUUUUUUUCAUAUCGGGGUUUCAUCCACACUGAAACAGCGUUUUGGAUGACUGUAAACGGUACUCUUUGAAAAUGGAUCAGAGAGUGCAUAAAUCCGUAAACGACUACCAUUUCAUCUCCGUGUGGAUGCCUACCUGCAUCUCUCUUGAAACAAUUAUCUGACACACAGCGUAACUCUUUUAUGGUGCCUGCACAUGUCCCACCCAAACAGCCUUUAUACGCAUGCUCUGUGCUUUUCUUCUGUUUUUGAUGUAUUUCCUUGACAGCGUUACAGUGCUACUUACUAGCUUGGCAUAUGCACUAUGUCGUUUUCAGUGGUUUCAUUUGAGAGAUGAUAGAAAAACUUUAAAUUAAAGUGAAGUUUGAUGAAGUUGUCACUGGAUAAAAAAUCGAAAUAAAAAAUCGAGUUUUUCACAACAAAAUCUGUAUUUUAUUGUUGGCCAAAAUUGUGCAGCCCUAUGAUGUCGGUACUGUGGCCCACAUUCAGGUACAAGGACAGACAGCUGUAUCUUCAAAUCACCUUAGACAAGCGUGCUCAGGUCCCACCACAGCUGAAAAGUAAGGCAUGAUUAAUAAAUGAUACUAAAAUAUGAUUGACAUAGUUUCCAUAAGGAUUUCUAGUCAAAUCAAUACUUUGAACAGUCCAUUUUUCCUGAACUUGCAGACCUUUGUUUCAGUGAACUUAUGAGAACAAUGUUGUUGCCAAUUCAAUGACAUUAAGACUUUACAGGAGUCAAAACAAUGAUUUCAAAAUUUCAAAAUAAUGGAGAAAAUAGCUGUCAGAUUAAACUUAAACUCUUAUCCAGACAGGGUAAUAAUAAUUGCCUUGAAUCAUAGAGAGUAAAUAGAGAAAAAUGCUCUCCUUCUCGAGCCUUGUCAUUUAAAUAACAUUUUCAAGAGAAAGAAAAAAAUAUUUCAGACAAUAAAAGCACUUACUAAUCACAAGGGGCUCAUUUUCUUUUAUCUCAAGCUGCAACAUUUGAUCAAACAGUUUGAAACUUGGAUUAGUGACAUGGAAAUUCCUGCUAAAUCUACAAAUAUGCCGAGAGCAGCACUGAGCUCUCAGCAGGAACACCUGCUGAAAAGAGGGGGAUCAGUGGGUAUUAUAAAUGCUCACUUUCAGAUUAUCUACACAGAAACAUAUGUACAGUCACUCCACAGAAGCCCUACCAGAUUUAAAAGGAAUCAGACCAAUGCCAUGACUGGCUGAGCAUGUAAUAGUUUAUCAUCACGUCCCUGUAAAUCAUACUGCAUGGCCUUUUUGGAGCAUGCUUUAGUGCACCAUGGCUUAUUAAAUGAAAUCCUUAAAUAUCCCAGUAUUUUACAGUUGUCAUGAACCUUCCUCUGGAUAACUUUUGAAUUUGAAUUCUAAUUCAUAGACCUUUCAUCAACACAUUUUAAUCACAAUCAUCCAAUUCAAGAUGUUCACCCCUGUUAAAUGUUGUCACUAGAUGGCGCUCUUGCUCACUUAUUUUACUGUUCUGGCAAAGGUUGCACUGUGUGUGCGGAUGUGACAUCAUUACCCUGUAUUUAUCCCUUGUUAUGUUACCAGAGGAGCAGGGGACACCUGCGGUUGUGUUUAAUGCCAGAGUGUUGAUAAUGAAACCUCCUGUACUGGCCUCAAUAAAUAAAUGGUGAAGAUCGAGUUAGGUUAGAGAGUAAUGAUCAGAAUAAGUGUUUACAUGUACGUGUUCUGGAAUAACGAUAGGUAUAAAGGUCCUUACAUAGCAGGAGCGUUUUUUUCGUGCAAUUAUUUCGGACAUCAAAAUUUUUUUUCGAACCCGUAUCCUGUCAAUUCAAGCAUUUACAUCAGUGAUGUUUUCCCGUCCUGCGAUAUUGCGGCAUUUAUUUUUUCGCAUCCCGGUCAAUUUCUCUUAAGUUUCGCAUACUGUGUGUCCACUUCUGACCAAUCAGAUUGUGUGUCGUUGCGACGUCAGAUUCACUGGUAUAUCCAACAUGGCCGACCGGCUGAUAGUUUAUGAUCGCUUACACAUACAAAGAUAACGACCUGAAGGACAACUUGUGGAGAAUCAUAGCAUCGGAUUUCUGAUAUGACGAUAGUUUGUGUGCUUUAACAGUUUGCUAAACAUCUUUGUUUUAACUUUCAUCUGUGCUAAGUAACUUUAGCUCGAAAGCUAACCUGUUCAGAUACAACAUACCAUAUAUAUUUUCACUGUAUCAAACUGUGUUGUUGCUGUCACAGCAACAUCAGGUCUCGGUUGUUACCUUACGUUUAUGGAUUAUAGUUUAAUGUGCUUAUCUGGUACUGGCCCUGACUCAGUACAUGCUAUCAUGACAGACAGCCAUCUCAACACUAGUGUCUAAUCAGAACUGAAAAACCAUCAGUCUGGUGUUGUCAGUCUUCUUGCUUCCACCCGAAAAGUCGCAAAAUCGCAUCGUGCUUAAUAUGUAUAGUCAGGCGCGUCAAAAUUUGUCUCCGAAUAUUUCGUGAUUUCACGUCAUAUAUUUGCGUCAUCCCCAGGGUGUAAGGACCUUAAAUCACCCCUCUUGAUAGUAAUACAAUUUCUUUCCAAUUGAGCUGAAUUGGAUCAGAAUGUUCUGAACCAACAUGUUUACAUUAUGCCUUUUUAUUCCGAUUGGGCCUUUUGCUGCAUUCGAGUUACCUCGGAAGUCUGAAGUCCAAGCUGAAAAUGAUGUCACACCCAAGUUACCAGAAUUUCAGUUGCCAAGUCAGAAAAAAGCAAAAUCGGAGGCGGAAACAAGAUGGCUACAUCUACGAAAGCUAUUACCUUGUCCGAAUAUAAGGCAAGCGCUAAAAUAACUUUCGCGGAUAUGGCCAUCUUAUUUCAGGCCUCUAAAUUUGAUUUUUUUUUCCGACUUGUUAACUGAAAUGCUGGCAACUUGUUUGUGACAACAUUUUCAGCUCCUAUGACUGACUUCUGAGGUAACUCGAAUGCAGCAUAAAUGCCCAUGUAAAUGCAGCUAAUGACAAAGACACUAACACUUUUGAUUUGAUAGGUGUGGUUUUUUGUGAUGUCCACGGGUCUGAUGUUAUAAAACACGUCAUCGUUUAAACCCAGGCUUCUUUGUCGUGGGAGAAAUGGAUUUAUUCCUCCCUUUAGUGAGCUCUCCUUUAAGCUGAGGGGGAAAAAAAUCAUCCCCGUAGAGCACAAGUUUCCUCUUUAACACAACACAUAUGAUUUAAAUGCACUUACAACAUGAUAACUGACACAAAGGCUUACAAGACAAUAUGUGACAUGAAGGGGAGAGAUAUUUAUCUCCACUUACUUUAAAACCCCUUUAACAAAGAAAUAGUUGUGUUUUUAUUUCAGAUGCCACCAGAGAAAGGGGGUUAAAGUCCAUAGAGAUUUCCACCAAGACACAAUCAAUGCUUAUGUAAUAGACUAGACAGAAUAAGCUCCCACUAUAUCAGUUUGGCUCAACAAAGAGAUGGCAUACAUUAAAAGGGCAUCUCACCAGCAUCUUCUACACUCACAGAGAAUUAACCAGACCAGUCCACAUUCAAGACUUAAACAUAUUGUAUUUGGCUUUUAGGAGCCAGACAGAAACAGAGCUUUAAAACAACCAAUCAGCUGUGUAUUAGGGGCUAUGUUGUACUAUUUAAUUAUGAUUUUCUCAUGCUCAAACACAAGGAUUGAGCUUGAAUCUCUACAGUAUUAUAAGAAGUCUUUCCACUGUGUGCAGCCCUGUAACUUAAUAAAAUUCAGACAUUUUAAAAAAGGCCAAUUAGCAGUGAAUAUUCAGACAGACUCUUCUCUGCCAGCGUAAUUGAAAGCAUCAAAUAACUUAGUAAUGAAUGAUCAAACACACCGUAAUCAUACUGUCAGCCAGUAGGAAAAGAUAAAGUCAGUGUCACAAUUAUUACUUAAAACUCCAAAUUCAAAAUGAUACCGCAGCUUUCCUUUAAUCAAAUUUUGGUGACAAACUCUUCGCCAUUAAAAAAAGGAUGCAUGUUCAAACUCUGAAUGAACAAUAACUCACAGUAGACAGGCCCAACAGAUGACACAUGUCUGAAACACCAAGCACUUAUAUAUUUCAUCAACAGUGUCAAGCUUGAACUUUCAGACCUCAGCUGUAUAACAGACAGCAAACUACACUCAGUGAAGAAAAUAUCCUACUGUCCUAAACCUGUCCCAAAUAACACUUUUUUAGCUGCCUGCGUCAGUUUGGAGAUGUGUAAGGUAGAGGCUGAAAAGCUCAUUAUUCGUUAUAAACUCAAUAUGAAAUUUCUUUCCAAUUUAUUUCAUAAUGAUUAUAAUGAAGGCUUUCAGAUUGUGUUUCAGUGGUCCAUCUAACACCUAUGAAGAUAACUAUUAUCUUGGCUGGAGCAGAACCCAUUCUCUGUAGGGCUGGCACACUGUUGACAGCUCAGUAGCUUAAAUGCAAAUAUUAAUGGGAAAAACAACAGGCCACUCAGGCAGGGUAAGGUGGAGAGACAAGAGGACAUCAGUACUGGAGAGAGGCAGUUUGAAUGGGAUAUUUACCUGCAGGCUUAUCGGUCUACAACAGGGAGAGAUAGUAUCAACAUGCUCUGAACCAUUCUGAAAACUAAUAACAGGAGGUGAGGAGUGGAGAGGCAUCUUGCUCUAAAGUUCUCAAGUUGCUCUUAUUAGGGAGAUAAAGCAGUCUCGUGGAUUUUAAAGAGUCCCUGAGAGGAAAAGAGGUUCACAUCAGUAAAUACACAGAUGCCACAGCAUGUGACAGAUGCCACAGCAUGUGAGUGACUCAAUAAUGGAUGAUCCUGACCCUUGGGUCUCCAGGUGGCUCUAGGUGAGUGGGGCCACUCCACUUCCUCUAGAAGACAUAGUUCGAAAGCUAGAAUCUGCUGCAGCUUGGAGAUGCAUAAGUACCCGUGAUACAGGUUACACAGCUGGUAAGGCAUCAUAAAAGGUCCCAUAUUAUUCAAAAUUCACUUUAGAAUGGUUUUCUAACAAUAAUAUACAUCCCAUCCCUCUAUCCUCUCCCUCUCCAGUUUGUUCCACCUUUCAGGAAAUGUCUGCUCAAAUGGGCGGAUUGAAACUAUCACCUUCCAUGACGUCAUGGAUGGCGAUAACUCCUCCCCUCCAG